CCAGAAUUCGUCUGAAAACUGCAUCCAAUUGUUUAUUUCAAAGGCAAACAGCAGUGCACGUUUGGAUGAUAAAAACUGCAGCAUGCGCAACAUUUUGGGUUGUCAGGGACCUGCAACUCCUAAACCGAAAUGUAUUGUACCCGAUUGUAGUGGAUAUGAUAAUUGUUCAAAAAAACUUUCGUUCUACGAAACAGCAGAGCCUCUUGGCACAUACCCAACCUAUUUAAAAAAUAAAUCCCAGCACGGGUUUUGGGCUGAUGUAAAAAAUAGAACAUUUUUAUUUAGCUACCCGCAAGAUGCAAAGAC